GGGGAAGGAGGAGAGAGAGACCUAGUGCUGUUUUUUCCCCUGUGACAGGAGGGAUUUUACCAAGAAAUAGAAGAUAGAUGCCACCUUGUUCCAGCUGCCAAAAGGACUUGCAAUGAAGUCCAGAGCAGAAGAGGGAAGACAUUGCAGUGGAAUCCAUCUUUUCACUGGUACAAAUACUGCUACAAUGGCCAUCCUUGCAUGUAUCCUUUGUGCCCAGGUAAGAGUAUCUCUAGGUACAUAACAGAAAUGCAAUUUCUAGGUUAGAAUGUGUUUUGUUACUAAAAUGGCUGAAUUUGCUGAGCUGAUUGACAAUCACACAGCACAGUAUGAUUUAUAAUCCCACAGCUUCACCAAAUCACAAGUGUCUAUUACCAAUUGUGCCAGAAACUAUUACCAAUGUGCCAAAUAUGAAAUUGUUUCCUUAAAAAAAAUUUGCAUUCACCUGAUUAUUUGUAAAGUCAAGUAUCCUUUCAUUUAUUUUUAUGUUUUAUUUAUUUAUUGAAGCAUGAAUGACGGGCUCAUUUCAGGUGUACAACACAGUGAUUCAACAACUCUAUAGGUAUGCUCAGCACAAGGGUAGCUGCCAUCUGUAAGCUUCCUUUACAAUGUUUAUUGAUAAUUUCUUCAUUGACCUUUUCUCUACAUCUCCUCUUCACAUGAAUUUUAAGUUUUGAUAAAGAUAUUUAUCAAUAUUUUCUAUGUAGAACAUUUUGCGUAUCUUUAAGAAAUCGUUUUCUAGUCUGAGCUCAUAAUGAUAUUUUUCUAUAUUUUCUCAAUUUUUGGCCAUAUCUUGUUUCUUGGUUGAGUAUUUUCCCCACAAAUCAAGCCUAUUCAGAUCAAACUUUCAUACAAAGAAAUGCACAACUCAUAAGCUUAUAUUUGAUCAGUUUUGACAAAUACACUCAUGUGAUCCAUACCUCAGUCAAAAUAUAGAACAUGUUCAUGACUAUAAACUUCCCUUGUAUCACCUCCCAGUCACUUCAUAUCCCUUCCCUGAAGCUACCAUUGUUCUGAUUUUUUUUUUCCUACCAUAGAUUAGACUUGCCUGUUCUAGAAGUUCAUAUGAAUGAAAGCAUACAAGAUAUACUCUUUUGGGUCUGGUCUAGCUUUUUCCAUUCAGCACAAUCAUUAUGAGAUUUAUUCAUGUUGUUGUAUUAGAAGUCCCUCCACUGUUACUGUUGAGUAAGUAGUUCCAUUGCAUGGGCGUACCACCAUUUGCCCUGCUGGUGGACAUUUGGGCUGAUUUCAUUUGGGGGCUAUGAUGAAUGCAUUUGAUGUGAACAUUCCCAUAUAAGGCUUUUUGUGGACGUGGUCUCUCUCUUUCCUCAAAUAGUUAUGUAGGAGUGACAUUGCUGGGUAGCCAUUUGAGUUUUAAGUUGACAGGUGAUGGUCACUGGACAGCUGGCAUAGUGAUUGAUAUACUUGGUGAAUAGAAACCAUGAAGCUUUUCUGUUUUUCUUCUCUUUGAUUUUCUCUGCCUGUUCCUUACCAGUCUCACUCCCUUCCAAUCCCAUCAAGGUCAACAGCUUUAAAAGUAAUGUGAUUCUUGGUUAUGAGACAUUUAUUGGAGUCUGAGAACACUACUUCAGCCUGGAAAAUACUACUUUAUAAGGCAAUAGUUCUUAAAAUUUUGCAGAGAGGAAAAUUCUGAGAAGCCCUAGUAUAUAAAAAUACUUUUCAAAAUGAAGCUGCUUUAGCUAUGUGGUGACACCUCUCUGCUUAUGCCCAUUGUCUCCAUCCUUACUGACUAAGCAACUCCCUAAUUUCUAUAGCAUGUUUUGAAAAAUUUCGGUCUAAGGAAACUGAUACUUAGAAAGUGGCCAAUCAUCUUGUCUUGUCUAAAUUGUAUGGAUAUGGGUGUAAGUCUGUGAUAUAUAUUUUUUAAAGAUUUAUUUAUUUGAGAGAGAGAGUGACAUGUGCACAAGUGAGCGAGAGGAGGGGCAGAGAGGAAGAAUCUCAAGCAGAUUCCAAGCUGAGCGUGGAGCCCAACAGGGGGGCUGGAUCUCAUGACCCGAGCUGAAAUCAAGAGUCAGAUGCUUAACUGACUGAGCCACCCAGGUGGCUCAUGGCUGUGAUAUUUUAUGUGUUCUGUUAAUGAAUUCAUAGUACACCUGAGAGACUUUAAAUUAGAAUUCUCUAAAUUAGGAGAUCUUGGAGAGCCACUUGAUUUUAAUGGAAGAAUGCCUCACUAUAGCUGUUAAAAGAAGAGAAUUGGGCACCUAAGUGGGAUCCCUCUGGCUUUUUUAGUGAUAUAAAGGGAUUGAAUUGAUAAUGAGGGGCGUGUGUGUGUGUGUGUGUGUGUGUGUGAGAGAGAGAGAGAGAGAGAGAGAGAGAGAGCUAUCUUAAUACUAUAACAUCACAUUUUAAAAGUAUAAUAAGUUUUCAUCUAAAUGUUGCUGUAAAAUCUAACCAGGUACCUAGUUUCUUGCCUUUUUUUUUUUUUUUUGGUAGCAGUAGACUGGAAAGAGACUAGGGGAGCUUCCUUUGUCUAGUGCAUAAUGUGGCUUAAAGGGAGGUUGUGUCCCAUU
rnacentral:lncRNA from 1 species